GAUGAACGCUGGCGGCGUGCCUAAUACAUGCAAGUCGAGCGAACAGACGAGGAGCUUGCUCCUCUGACGUUAGCGGCGGACGGGUGAGUAACACGUGGAUAACCUACCUAUAAGACUGGGAUAACUUCGGGAAACCGGAGCUAAUACCGGAUAAUAUAUUGAACCGCAUGGUUCAAUAGUGAAAGACGGUUUUGCUGUCACUUAUAGAUGGAUCCGCGCCGCAUUAGCUAGUUGGUAAGGUAACGGCUUACCAAGGCAACGAUGCGUAGCCGACCUGAGAGGGUGAUCGGCCACACUGGAACUGAGACACGGUCCAGACUCCUACGGGGGGCAGCAGUAGGGAAUCUUCCGCAAUAGGCGAAAGCCUGACGGAGCAACGCCGCGUGAGUGAUGAAGGUCUUCGGAUCGUAAAACUCUGUUAUUAGGGAAGAACAAAUGUGUAAGUAACUAUGCACGUCUUGACGGUACCUAAUCAGAAAGCCACGGCUAACUACGUG
rnacentral:rRNA from 1 species